GGAUGCGAUCAUACCAGCACUAACGCACCGGAUCCCAUCAGAACUCCGAAGUUAAGCGUGCCUGGGCGAGAGUAGUACUAGGAUGGGUGACCCCCUGGGAAGUCCUCGUGUUGCAUCCC
rnacentral:rRNA from 1 species